AUUGAACGCUGGCGGCAGGCCUAACACAUGCAAGUCGAGCGGAUGAGUGGAGCUUGCUCCAUGAUUCAGCGGCGGACGGGUGAGUAAUGCCUAGGAAUCUGCCUGGUAGUGGGGGACAACGUUUCGAAAGGAACGCUAAUACCGCAUACGUCCUACGGGAGAAAGUGGGGGAUCUUCGGACCUCACGCUAUCAGAUGAGCCUAGGUCGGAUUAGCGAGUUGGGGGGGUAAUGGCUCACCAAGGCGACGAUCCGUAACUGGUCUGAGAGGAUGAUCAGUCAGACUGGAACUGAGACACGGUCCGAACUCCUACAGGAGGCAGCAGUGGGGAAUAUUGGACAAUGGGCGAAAGCCUGAUCCAGCCAUGCCGCGUGUGUGAAGAAGGUCUUCGGAUUUUAAAGCACUUUAAGUUGGGAGGAAGGGCAGUAAAUUAAUACUUUGCUGUUUUGACGUUACCGACAGAAUAAGCACCGGCUAACUCUGUGCCAGCCGCCGCGGUAAAAC
rnacentral:rRNA from 1 species